GUCAAGUCAGCAUGGCCUUUAUAUCCUGGGCUACACACACGCUACAAUGGGAAGGGACAAUAGGUUGCGAAGCCGCGAGGCGGAGCCAAUCCAGCAAAACUUCCCUCAGUUCAGAUUGCAGGCUGCAACUCGCCUGCAUGAAGUUGGAGUUGCUAGUAAACGCAGGUCAGCCAUACUGCGUUGAAUACGUUCCCGGGGCUU
rnacentral:rRNA from 1 species